CCCAGCUUGCUGGGCGGAUUAGUGGCGAACGGGUGAGUAAUACGUGAGUAACCUGCCCUUGACUCUGGGAUAAGCCUGGGAAACUGGGUCUAAUACUGGAUACUACUUCCUGCCGCAUGGUGGGUGGUGGAAAGGGUUUUACUGGUUUUGGAUGGGCUCACGGCCUAUCAGCUUGUUGGUGGGGUAAUGGCUCACCAAGGCGACGACGGGUAGCCGGCCUGAGAGGGUGACCGGCCACACUGGGACUGAGACACGGCCCAGACUCCUACGGGAGGCAGCAGUGGGGAAUAUUGCACAAUGGGCGGAAGCCUGAUGCAGCGACGCCGCGUGAGGGAUGACGGCCUUCGGGUUGUAAACCUCUUUCAGUAGGGAAGAAGCGAGAGUGACGGUACCUGCAGAAGAAGCGCCGGCUAACUACGUGCCAGCAGCCGCGGUAAUACGUAGGGCGCAAGCGUUGUCCGGAAUUAUUGGGCGUAAAGAGCUCGUAGGCGGUUUGUCGCGUCUGCUGUGAAAGCCCGGGGCUCAACCCCGGGUCUGCAGUGGGUACGGGCAGACUAGAGUGCAGUAGGGGAGACUGGAAUUCCUGGUGUAGCGGUGAAAUGCGCAGAUAUCAGGAGGAACACCGAUGGCGAAGGCAGGUCUCUGGGCUGUUACUGACGCUGAGGAGCGAAAGCAUGGGGAGCGAACAGGAUUAGAUACCCUGGUAGUCCAUGCCGUAAACGUUGGGCACUAGGUGUGGGGGACAUUCCACGUUUUCCGCGGUUUUCCGCGCCGUAGCUAACGCAUUAAGUGCCCCGCCUGGGGAGUACGGCCGCAAGGCUAAAACUCAAAGGAAUUGACGGGGGCCCGCACAAGCGGCGGAGCAUGCGGAUUAAUUCGAUGCAACGCGAAGAACCUUACCAAGGCUUGACAUUCACCGGACCGCCCCAGAGAUGGGGUUUCCCUUCGGGGCUGGUGGACAGGUGGUGCAUGGUUGUCGUCAGCUCGUGUCGUGAGAUGUUGGGUUAAGUCCCGCAACGAGCGCAACCCUCGUUCUAUGUUGCCAGCACGUGAUGGUGGGGACUCAUAGGAGACUGCCGGGGUCAACUCGGAGGAAGGUGGGGAUGACGUCAAAUCAUCAUGCCCCUUAUGUCUUGGGCUUCACGCAUGCUACAAUGGCCGGUACAAAGGGUUGCGAUACUGUGAGGUGGAGCUAAUCCCAAAAAGCCGGUCUCAGUUCGGAUUGAGGUCUGCAACUCGACCUCAUGAAGUCGGAGUCGCUAGUAAUCGCAGAUCAGCAACGCUGCGGUGAAUACGUUCCCGGGCCUUGUACACACCGCCCGUCAAGUCACGAAAGUUGGUAACACCCGAAGCCGGUGGCCUAACCCCUUGUGGGAG
rnacentral:rRNA from 1 species